CAAUCAUAGCGCUGAGAAACUAAAAUAUUUGACCGUGAGAUAAAAAUACUGAGAACAUCUGCAAAUGCACAGGCGUAUCAUUGGUUAAAGAUCGAUUAUCGGAAAAAAUUCUAGAAGGGCCUGCUACUGGAUAAAGCUAAGGUUCUGCGAGGCGUUGAUUUACUGCCUCCAUGUUGGUCAAGAGGAUGUCCAAAUAGUUUUGGGGACAAAUAACAAUCUCCCGAACGUAGUUCUACAAACGAAAGUCAC
rnacentral:misc_RNA from 1 species